rnacentral:rRNA from 1 species
GGGGAAUAUUGGACAAUGGGCGAAAGCCUGAUCCAGCCAUGCCGCGUGUGUGAAGAAGGUCUUCGGAUUGUAAAGCACUUUAAGUUGGGAGGAAGGGUUGUAACCUAAUACGUUGCAACUUUGACGUUACCGACAGAAUAAGCACCGGCUAACUUCGUGCCAGCAGCCGCGGUAAUACGAAGGGUGCAAGCGUUAAUCGGAAUUACUGGGCGUAAAGCGCGCGUAGGUGGUUUGAUAAGUUGGAUGUGAAAGCCCCGGGCUCAACCUGGGAAUUGCAUCCAAAACUGUCUGACUAGAGUACGGUAGAGGGUAGUGGAAUUUCCUGUGUAGCGGUGAAAUGCGUAGAUAUAGGAAGGAACACCAGUGGCGAAGGCGACUACCUGGACUGUUACUGACACUGAGGUGCGAAAGCAUGGGGAGCAAAC